rnacentral:rRNA from 1 species
AUUGAACGCUGGCGGCAUGCUUUACACAUGCAAGUCGGACGGCAGCACAGAGAAGCUUGCUUCUUGGGUGGCGAGUGGCGAACGGGUGAGUAAUAUAUCGGAACGUACCGAGUAAUGGGGGAUAACUAAUCGAAAGAUUAGCUAAUACCGCAUAUUCUCUGAGGAGGAAAGCAGGGGACCUUCGGGCCUUGCGUUAUUCGAGCGGCCGAUAUCUGAUUAGCUAGUUGGUGGGGUAAAGGCCUACCAAGGCGACGAUCAGUAGCGGGUCUGGGAGGAUGAUCCGCCACACUGGGACUGAGACACGGCCCAGACUCCUACGGGAGGCAGCAGUGGGGAAUUUUGGACAAUGGGCGCAAGCCUGAUCCAGCCAUGCCGCGUGUCUGAAGAAGGCCUUCGGGUUGUAAAGGACUUUUGUCAGGGAAGAAAAGGCUGUUGCUAAUACCGACAGCUGAUGACGGUACCUGAAGAAUAAGCACCGGCUAACUACGUG